rnacentral:misc_RNA from 1 species
GAAAUGCGAUAAGUAAUGUGAAUUGCAGAAUUCAGUGAAUCAUCGAAUCUUUGAACGCACAUUGCGCCCGCCAGUAUUCUGGCGGGCAUCCCUGUUCGAGCGUCAUUACAACCCUCAGGCCCCCGGGCCUGGCGUUGGGGAUCGGCGGAAGCCCCCUGCGGGCACAACGCCGUCCCCCAAAUACAGUGGCGGUCCCGCCGCAGCUUCCAUUGCGUAGUAGCUAACACCUCGCAACUGGAGAGCGGCGCGGCCACGCCGUAAAACACCCAACUUCUGAAUGUUGACCUCGAAUCAGGUAAGAAUACCCGCUGAACUUAAGC